rnacentral:rRNA from 1 species
GAGGAGGAGUCCGGAGAUGGGUAUUGAGACAAGGACCCAGGCCCUAUGGGGCGCAGCAGGCGCGAAACUUCUGCAAUAGGCGAAAGCCUGACAGGGUUAUUCUGAGUGACUUUCGCUAAGAAAGUCUUUUGACACCUCUAAAAAUGGUGUAGAAUAAGGGGUGGGCAAGUCUGGUGUCAGCCGCCGCGGUAAUACCAGCACCCCGAGUGGUCGGGACGAUUAUUGGGCCUAAAGCAUCCGUAGCCGGUUUUACAAGUCCUCCGUUAAAUCCAACUGCUUAACAGAUGGGCCGCGGAGGAUACUACAAGGCUAGGAGGCGGAAGAGGCAAGCGGUACUCAGUGGGUAGGGGUAAAAUCCUCUGAUCCAUUGAAGACCACCAGUGGCGAAGGCGGCUUGCCAAUACGCGCUCGACGGUGAGGGAUGAAAGCUGGGGGAGCAAACCGGAUUAGAUACCCGGGUAGUCCCAGCUGUAAACGAUGCAGACUCGGUGAUGGGCUGGCCUUGUGCCAGCCCAGUGCCGCAGGGAAGCCGUUAAGUCUGCCGCCUGGGGAGUACGGUCGCAAGACUGAAACUUAA